rnacentral:rRNA from 1 species
GCGGCUACUGCUAUCAGGUUUCGACUAAGCCAUGCGAGUCAAGGGGUCGUAAGACACCGGCGUACUGCUCAGUAACACGCGGACAAUCUACCCCCAGGUGGAGGAUAACCUCGGGAAACUGAGGCUAAUACCCCAUAGUUGUCAUGUGCUGGAAUGCUUUGACGAUGAAAGAAUUUCGCCUGAGGAUGAGUCUGCGGCCUAUCAGGUAGUAUGUGGUGUAAAGGACCACAUAGCCUAAGACGGGUACGGGCCUUGAAAGAGGGAGCCCGGAGAUGGACUCUGAGACACUAGUCCAGGCCCUACGGGGCGCAGCAGGCGCGAAAACUGUGCAAUGCGCGCAAGCGCGACACGGGAAGCCUGAGUGCCUUAACUAUGUUAAGGCUUUUCUUGAUCCUAAAAAGCUCAAGGAAUAAGAGCUGGGUAAGACGGGUGCCAGCCGCCGCGGUAACACCCGCGGCUCGAGUGGUAGUCACUUUUAUUGAGCCUAAAGCGUUUGUAGCCGGAUUUGUAAAUCUCUAGGAAAAUACUUCUGCUUAACUGAAGAAAUUCUGGAGAGACUGCAAAUCUAGGGACCGGGUGAGGUUGAAUGUACUUCUGGGGUAGGGGUAAAAUCCUGUAAUCCUGGAAGGACGACCGGUGGCGAAGGCGUUCAACUAGAACGGAUCCGACGGUGAGGAACGAAGGCUAGGGGAGCGAACCGGAUUAGAUACCCGGGUAGUCCUAGCUGUAAACACUGCCCACUUGGUGUUGCAUCUCCGGUAAGGGGGUGCAGUGCCGUAGCGAAGGUGUUAAGUGGGCCGCUUGGGGAGUAUGGUCGCAAGGCUGAAACUUAA